rnacentral:rRNA from 1 species
AGUGAUCGCUGGCGGUAGGCCUAACACAUGCAAGUCGAACGGCAGCACAGUAAGAGCUUGCUCUUACGGGUGGCGAGUGGCGGACGGGUGAGGAAUACAUCGGAAUCUACUUUUUCGUGGGGGAUAAUGUAGGGAAACUUACGCUAAUACCGCAUACGACCUACGGGUGAAAGCAGGGGAUCUUCGGACCUUGCGCGAUUGAAUGAGCCGAUGUCGGAUUAGCUAGUUGGCGGGGUAAAGGCCCACCAAGGCGACGAUCCGUAGCCGGUCUGAGAGGAUGAUCAGCCACACUGGAACUGAGACACGGUCCAGACUCCUACGGGAGGCGGCAGUGGGGAAUAUUGGACAAUGGGCGCAAGCCUGAUCCAGCCAUACCGCGUGGGUGAAGAAGGCCUUCGGGUUGUAAAGCCCUUUUGUUGGGAAAGAAAAGCAGCAGGUUAAUACCCCGCUGUUCUGACGGUACCCAAAGAAUAAGCACCGGCUAACUUCGU